UUUAUCAAAAACAUGGCUCCUUGUAAUCCUGUAGAUGGGGAGUCGGACCUGCCCGGUGAAAUUAUUUAACGGCUGCGGUACCCUGACCGUGCGAAGGUAGCAUAAUCAUUUGCCUUAUAAUUGAAGGCUUGUAUGAAUGGUUUGACUUGAGCAAAGCUGUCUCUUUAUAAUUUUGUAGAAUUUUAUUUUUAGGUGAAGAAGCCUAGAUGAAAUUAAUAGACAAGAAGACCCUAUCGAGCUUUAAAUAAGUUAAUAGAAUUAUAUUGUUAAUAUAUAUAAAAAAUUGACUAUUAAAAAUUUUGGUUGGGGCGACUGAGGAACAAAUAAAGCUUCCUAUGUUUAAUAGAUGUUCGUAUAUUGAUCCAAGCUUUUUGAUUAAAGAAAUUAGUUACCGUAGGGAUAACAGCAUUAUUCUCUUUGAGAGUUCUUAUCGAAAAGGGGGUUUGUGACCUCGAUGUUGGACCAGAAUAUCCUAAAGAUGCAGAAGUCUUUAAGGGUUGGUCUGUUCGACCAUUAAAAUUCUACGUGAUCUGAGUUCAGACCGGCGUGAGCCAGGUCAGUUUCUAUCUUUAAUUUUUUAUACAAGCUUAGUACGAAAGGACCAGUUUGUAGUACUAGAUGCUAUAGAUGAAGAAAUAUAAUUAAUACUUGUCAGAUUAGCAAAUUUAAUGCAAUUGAUUUAGGUUCAAUAGAUAUAGGUGAAAGUCCUUUAUUUGACAGAAUAAAGAUGGCAGAUUUAGUGCAUUAGGUUU
rnacentral:rRNA from 1 species